GAUGUUGGGUUAAGUCCCGCAACGAGCGCAACCCUUGUCUUAUGUUGCCAGCACGUUGUGGUGGGGACUCGUAAGAAACUGCCGGGGUUAACUCGGAGGAAGGUGGGGAUGACGUCAAAUCAUCAUGCCCCUUAUGUCCAGGGCUUCACACAUGCUACAAUGGUCGGUACAGUGGGUUGCCAGUCCGUGAGGGCGAGCUAAUCCCGCAAAGCCGGUCUCAGUUCGGAUCGGGGUCUGCAACUCGACCCCGUGAAGUCGGAGUCGCUAGUAAUCGCAGAUCAGCAACGCUGCGGUGAAUACGUUCCCGGGCCUUGUACACACCGCCCGUCACGUCAUGAAAGUCGGUAACACCCGAAGCCAGUGGCCUAACACAUUUU
rnacentral:rRNA from 1 species